ACGUCACGCACUGGAUUGUUUUAGUUUACUUUAGUCGUGUAGGCAACCGAAGAGCAAGGCAGCUGGACCGCGCCAGACGAUCGAUUUGGUAUCAACUCGACGGCAUCGACGCGAAAAUUGCAGGGACACAACAAACUGACAGUCAGCCAUCAGGACACCCUACAUGCUGAAUCUGCAUCACAUAUUUAUAUCAAGUUUGCUUUGCAUCAUGUCUAGUGAUUUGAAAAAGCUGCUGUGAUGUAAACUCCGUAAGCUCCGGUGUUCUGUUCAUUUGUCCCACCUACACUGUCAGAUUUUCCUACCAUAGCGCAAAAUUAUACCCAUUUGUUUCAAUCCAAACUAUCACACUAAAAAAGGAUGCGGCCGCGCAAAAAUUAGAUUGUCUUAUGGAGUAUAAAAUAAACAGGUAGGAUGUGACCGUGCAAAAAUCAGAUUGUCUUAUAUAGUAUAAAAUAAACAGGUACAAUGUGACCGUGUAAAAAUCAGAUUGUCUUAUGCAGUAAAAAAAUAAACAGGUAGGAUGCGACGGGUCAAAAUCAAAUUGUCUUAUGUAGUAUGAA